AUUGAACGCUGGCGGCAGGCCUAACACAUGCAAGUCGAGCGAGCGGCGGACGGGUGAGUAAUGUAUGGGGACUGCCCGAUAGAGGGGGAUACCUACUGGAAAAGGUAGCUAAUACCGCAUACUAUCGGAUAACCCAUAUGGGAUUAGCUAGGGGGUGGGGUAAUGGCUCACCUAGGCGACGAUCCCUAGCUGGUCGGAGAGGAGGAUCAGCCACACUGGGACGUGGACACGGCCCCGACCCCUACGGAGGCAGCAGUGGGGAAUAUUGCACAAUGGGGGCAAGCCGGAUGCAGCCAUUCCCCGUGUAUGAAGAAGGCCCUAGGGUUGUAAAGUACUUUCAGUCGGGAGGCGUUACCGACAGAAAAAGCACCGGCUAACUCCGUGCCAGCCGCCGCGGUAAUAC
rnacentral:rRNA from 1 species